rnacentral:tRNA from 2 species
GGGCCCGUAGGGUAGUUAGGAUAUCCUUCUGGCCUUCGAAGCCGGUGACGUGGGUUCAAAUCCCACCGGGCCCGCCA